rnacentral:rRNA from 1 species
CACAGGUGGGAUUGCGUUUUAAAUAUUGAAUAGGCAUUAAGUGUGAUUAGGUGGCAAAAAAUAGUUUUGCUCGAGUCCUAAGAGGAGAGUUAGAGGAAUAACCAAAUGAAGGAUGAAAUCUAUAGAUAUUGGUUGGAACAUCGAUAGCGACAGCAUCACUCUAUUUUGGGACUGACACUGAAUCACUAAAGUGUGGGGAGCAAAACGG